rnacentral:rRNA from 1 species
ACGAACGCUGGCGGCAGGCCUAACACAUGCAAGUCGAACGCCCUAGCAAUAGGGAGUGGCAGACGGGUGAGUAACACGUGGGAACAUGCCCUUCGGUUCGGAAUAACUCAGGGAAACUUGAGCUAAUACCGGAUACGUCCGCGAGGAGAAAGAUUUAUCGCCGAAGGAUUGGCCCGCGUCUGAUUAGCUUGUUGGUGAGGUAAUGGCUCACCAAGGCGACGAUCAGUAGCUGGUCUGAGAGGAUGAUCAGCCACAUUGGGACUGAGACACGGCCCAAACUCCUACGGGAGGCAGCAGUGGGGAAUAUUGGACAAUGGGCGAAAGCCUGAUCCAGCUAUGCCGCGUGAGUGAUGAAGGCCUUAGGGUUGUAAAGCUCUUUUGCCCGGGAAGAUAAUGACGGUACCGGGAGAAUAAGCCCCGGCUAACUUCGUGCCAGCAGCCGCGGUAAUACGAAGGGGGCUAGCGUUGUUCGGAUUUACUGGGCGUAAAGCGCACGUAGGCGGAUUCUUAAGUCAGGGGUGAAAUCCCGGGGCUCAACCUCGGAACUGCCUUGAUACUGGGGAUCUCGAGUUCGAGAGAGGUAAGUGGAACUGCGAGUGUAGAGGUGAAAUUCGUAGAUAUUCGCAAGAACACCAGUGGCGAAGGCGGCUCACUGGCUCGAUACUGACGCUGAGGUGCGAAAGCGGGGGGAGCAAACAGGAUUAGAUACCCUGGUAGUCCACGCCGUAAACGAUGGAUGCUAGCCGUUAGGCAGCUUGCUGCUUAGUGGCGCAGUUAACGCUUUAAGCAUCCCGCCUGGGGAGUACGGUCGCAAGAUUAAAACUCAAAGGAAUUGACGGGGGCCCGCACAAGCGGUGGAGCAUGUGGUUUAAUUCGAAGCAACGCGCAGAACCUUACCAGCUUUUGACAUGUCCCGUAUGGUUUCCAGAGAUGGAUUCCUUCAGUUCGACUGGCGGGAACACAGGUGCUGCAUGGCUGUCGUCAGCUCGUGUCGUGAGAUGUUGGGUUAAGUCCCGCAACGAGCGCAACCCUCGCCCUUAGUUGCCAUCAUUCAGUUGGGCACUCUAGGGGGACUGCCGGUGAUAAGCCGAGAGGAAGGUGGGGAUGACGUCAAGUCCUCAUGGCCCUUACGGGCUGGGCUACACACGUGCUACAAUGGCGGUGACAGUGGGAUGCAAAAGGGCGACCUCUAGCAAAUCUCAAAAAGCCGUCUCAGUUCGGAUUGCACUCUGCAACUCGAGUGCAUGAAGGUGGAAUCGCUAGUAAUCGUAGAUCAGAACGCUACGGUGAAUACGUUCCCGGGCCUUGUACACACCGCCCGUCACACCAUGGGAGUUGGUUCUACCCGAAGGCGUUUUGCUAACCGCAAGGGGGCAGACGACCACGGUAGGGUCAGCGACUGGGGUG